AAUUAAAAUAACAUCCAAGACAUAAUAUUAAAUUGUUCAACAAAACAACAUAAAACCAAAUAAUUGUUCAACACCACAACAACAUAUACCAUCUUAGAAUUAUUAUUAUUAUUCCAUGGCAUUUUUUUGUCUUUAUUUAUAUUGUUAUGCAAAAUAAAAAAAUGGGUCCAACUUUUAAACUUGGACGACCCAUAUUGAGGGUCUCUCAUCACAUUCACUAAAACCCUAAAAGUCAUCUUCCUUAUUCUACUGCGCAGCCUCAACAUCAACAUGUCAUCUUCAACUUUUAUUUUCUUUUUUGGCUUUCUGAACUCUGAAGCUCUACCUGCGUCUUCAUCCUUCUUGGUUCCAUGGCAUCUACCUGCGUCUCUACUCUUGCAUCAGAUCGCAGCCCCUUAGGUAACCCUUUUUCCAAAAAUUCUUUAUUAAAAUCUUGGGACUCCCUAAAGGUACUUUUAACAGCAAUUUAGUUUUUAAUUUCCUACAUGAACUUCACAUUGUAACAUAGGUAGCAGUAACAUCUUAACAAAAACCUUAGGCUUAAUUGCAGUUUGGUCCUGAUGACCCGAUGUUUAUUCUAUCUUUGUCGAGUCAUUAUUGAGUUAUUUAGUCCUUUAUUGAGUUAUUAGUCAAGUUAAGUCCUUUUUUAGCUCAUAAAUGCAUUUGCAUUAGUUUAGAUUUUUUUAAUCUAUUUACUUAAUCUUUUAAUUAGUUUCUAUUAGUUUUAGUUUGGGGUUUAUUCUUUUGGUCAGACUUAAACUGAAACUUUGUGAGAUUAUGAGUGUUGAUGAGCUUUUGGGGGUUUUUGUUUGCUGGAUUGAAUGGGGGAUUGAUGAAAUAUUCAUUAAUGAGAUAUAUUCAGGAGUUACAUGGUUGUUCUCAUAGAGAGUUCUUGAGAUGCUUUUCAGGUUUGAUAGACUCUUGAUGGCUAAUGAUGAUGGUUGAAGGCAAAGUAAUGAGCAAUGAUAAUUGUGGGAAAGGGAGUUACAAAGCUGCUGAAAAAACUGGUGAAGACCACGCAUGUGCGUGGUGGAGACCCCGCACAUGCGUGGUGGUUCUGUAUGAGGAAGGGGCUGGAACGUGAAGACCACGCAUGUGCGCCGUUAUGGCCACGCACAUGCGUGGUAAACAGACUUAAAAGUUGAAAAUGGACAGAUUGGCCACGCAUGUGCGUGGUGGAGACCCCGCACAUGCGUGGUGGCAAAAUCUGAUGCUGCGAAUUGUGCGAUUUUGAGCGUCUUGCCCACGCAUGUGCGUGGUGGAGACCCCGCACAUGCGUGGAUUACCGCUGGAAACUUUAUAAAUAGGGAUUUUGUUAUUUCUUUGAGGCAUCUUGUAACUUUUUGAACAAAACUUAGAGGUUUAGGUUCUUGGAGCUUGUGAAA